GAUGAACGCUGGCGGCGUGCUUAACACAUGCAAGUCGAACGAAGCACUUUAUUUGAUUUCCUUCGGGACUGAUUAUUUUGUGACUGAGUGGCGGACGGGUGAGUAACGCGUGGGUAACCUGCCUUGUACAGGGAGAUAACAGUUGGAAACGGCUGCUAAUACCGCAUAAGCGCACAGCAUCGCAUGAUGCAGUGUGAAAAACUCCGGUGGUAUAAGAUGGACCCGCGUUGGAUUAGCUAGUUGGUGAGGUAACGGCCCACCAAGGCGACGAUCCAUAGCCGACCUGAGAGGGUGACCGGCCACAUUGGGACUGAGACACGGCCCAAACUCCUACGGGAGGCAGCAGUGGGGAAUAUUGCACAAUGGGCGAAAGCCUGAUGCAGCGACGCCGCGUGAGCGAAGAAGUAUUUCGGUAUGUAAAGCUCUAUCAGCAGGGAAGAUAAUGACG
rnacentral:rRNA from 1 species